GAGGGGUAUAGUAGCAAUACUAGAGACCGGCGCACGGGUGCGUAACGCGUAUGCAAUCUACCUUUUGCAGAGGGAUAGCCCAGAGAAAUUUGGAUUAAUACCUCAUAGUAUUAUAGUAUGGCAUCAUAUUAUAAUUAAAGUCACAACGGCAAAAGAUGAGCAUGCGUCCCAUUAGUUAGUUGGUAAGGUAACGGCUUACCAAGACUACGAUGGGUAGGGGUCCUGAGAGGGAGAUCCCCCACACUGGUACUGAGACACGGACCAGACUCCUACGGGAGGCAGCAGUGAGGAAUAUUGGACAAUGGGCGCAAGCCUGAUCCAGCCAUGCCGCGUGCAGGAUGACGGUCCUAUGGAUUGUAAACUGCUUUUGCACAGGAAGAAACAUCCCGACGUGUCGGGACUUGACGGUACUGUGAGAAUAAGGAUCGGCUAACUCCGUGCCAGCAGCCGCGGUAAUACGGAGGAUCCAAGCGUUAUCCGGAAUCAUUGGGUUUAAAGGGUCCGUAGGCGGUUUAGUAAGUCAGUGGUGAAAGCCCAUCGCUCAACGGUGGAACGGCCAUUGAUACUGCUAGACUUGAAUUAUUAGGAAGUAACUAGAAUAUGUAGUGUAGCGGUGAAAUGCUUAGAGAUUACAUGGAAUACCAAUUGCGAAGGCAGGUUACUACUAAUGGAUUGACGCUGAUGGACGAAAGCGUGGGUAGCGAACAGGAUUAGAUACCCUGGUAGUCCACGCCGUAAACGAUGGAUACUAGCUGUUGGGAGCAAUCUCAGUGGCUAAGCGAAAGUGAUAAGUAUCCCACCUGGGGAGUACGUUCGCAAGAAUG
rnacentral:rRNA from 1 species